GUUGAUAUGAAACAGCUGAUUUCCUUCAGUGACGACCCACUCCCAGCCGCUCUUGUGUGAAAACGCCACCCUCUUCUCACGUGACUUACUAUCAGCGCUGGGAGCCUCAGACCUUCCACAUCUCGCUGUGAAAUGGUGGAAUUUACGUCUUCUCGCGACGAGGAUUCUCUGCACGGGGAUAGUAUGCCUCCUCCGCCGGAUAUAGUUGAGGAUAAUGAUGUCAUUGAGGAGCAUGUUGGAGGAGGAGGAGGCGAGUGUGAAGAGGUGGAGCUGACAGGAUGUGGAGCGUCAGCAUGUUGCGAUCCUCGGAAAGGAGUCUAUAGGUUUAGUGCCUUGUUCUUCAUGUGCUUCCUGGGUUUUGGUUCCUAUUUCUGCUAUGACACCCCUGGCUCGCUGCAGGACCAGAUUAAGGAUGACAUGGGAGUCAACACUGUCCAAUUUGCCAGCCUCUACUCCCUGUACUCAUGGCCUAAUGUGGUCCUUUGCUUUAUUGGGGGCUUCUUGAUUGACAGAGUAUUUGGUAUCCGUUGGGGUACCAUUAUAUUUUCCUCAUUAGUUACAGUGGGCCAGUUUAUAUAUGCAGCUGGUGCAGUUACAGAUCAGUUCUGGUUGAUGCAAACAGGACGUUUUGUAUUUGGAGUUGGUGGUGAGUCCCUUGCUGUUGCCCAGAACACCUACACUGUAAGCUGGUUCAAAGGCAAAGAACUAAACACUGUGUUUGGACUGCAGCUGAGCAUGGCUCGUGUUGGCUCCACAGUUAAUUUCCUUAGCAUGGGCCCUGUCUAUGCUUGGGUUGAUACUUUUGCCGAUGGGUACAAGACGCUUGGAAUUUCACUCUUGAUUGCUGGAGCAACCUGCAUCUUCUCUCUGGCGUGCGCUGGGAUCUUGGGCCUGCUUGACAAGAGGCGCUCUAAGGUGCUGCAUCUCAACUUGGCCGAGUCUGGGGAGAAGGUGCAGCUCAGGGACAUCCUCACUUUCCCGCUCUCCUUCUGGCUCCUGUGCGUGAUCUGUGUGUCAUACUAUGUAGCCAUCUUCCCUUUCAUUGGGCUGGCCAAGGUCUUCUUCAUGCGCAAGUUUGAUUUUGAUGAGACGAAUGCCAAUGGCGUCAGCAGCAUUGUCUACAUCAUUUCAGCCUUCGCGUCUCCUAUCCUGGGAUAUGUAGUGGACAGAUUAGGGCGCAACAUCCUGUGGGUGUUUAUUGCAGUGCUUGUGUCACUUGGCUGCCAUGCCCUCCUCACUUUUACCUUCCUCAAUCCCUUUAUUGCCAUGAGUGUAUUAGGCUUAUCAUACUCUCUCCUGGCCAGUGCACUUUGGCCAAUGGUAUCUCUCAUCAUCCCAGAACACCAGCUUGGGAGUGCGUAUGGCAUGAUGCAGAGUAUUCAGAACCUUGGCCUUGCCUUGAUCAGCAUGUUGGCUGGACUGAUUGUUGACUUGAAAGGAUACCUUGUCCUAGAAAUGUUCUACAUGGUAUGGCUUUGUGUUGCCAUCGCGGCAACAGUUGUCAUCUACGUGGUGGACAGUGAAAAGGGAGGCUACCUGAUGAUGUCGCCAACUCAGAGGACAGCUUAUGAGAAAAAGGGAGAGGAGAAUCCAGAGAUGGUAGAAGAAAAGUUGCCUUGAUAUCCACUGUGGUAAUGUGGUUGACGGAUGCUGCGUUGGGAGGAGUGCUUAACCUUACUGUUGCUGAGCGGCGAAACCGAGAGGGAGACAGGGAACGACUACUCAGCUCGUAAAUACUAUACUG
rnacentral:misc_RNA from 1 species